GGAUUGUUUUUAAGUCACCUUUUCAGUGCCCUUGUGAUUUCAAAAGGUCUCUAAGCAAAUGAUUGUAAAUGAAGGAUU